GCAGGAUUCUAGCUUUCCAAGAAGAAGCAAGUUGAUGGGAGCAAGCACUGAAAGUGGAAACAGGCAGAAGCUUGUAGUGAGUAUUUUCACACAGGGAAGAUGGGGCUGGAGUGUUUUGGAUGCCAAGGGUGUACUCCCCACCAUUCAGAGGCAGAGCCAAACCGAGAAUGAAAAACAGCAUCCCAUCGUCUGGUCCUGCCCAGCAACUUCAUCCCAAGCUCAGUGAGAUGCUGUCCCCAGAGCUGCAGCCGGGGAGACUCCUCCAGUUUCACAAGCACACCCUCUUGUAAUUUCCACCUCUUUGGAGUAGCAACUUGGAUAAAUUGAAAAUGGCACAUGAAACAUCUCUGUGCCUUUCAAAGGGAGGGAGCAUCUCUAAUGAGCUUUUGAAAGAAAGCACAGCAUCGCCCAGUGGAAAGAAAUGUGUAGUGACCACCCAGGCCUGCAGACGAGGCUCUACGAUCAAGCGUGGAUGCUAAUUCCUGAUUCCACCCAGUCUCACAUUAAUUCUCAGGAGUCAGAAGACCUACAAAUGUACUCAGGGCAUCCAGAGAGAGGCAGAAUGCUGCUGGAUUGGACACAAAGGACCUGGUCUCUAAUUCUAGUGCCACUUAUUUCCUUCUUCCCCCAGGUCCGCGACUCUGGCUUUGAGACAGCUGCUUUCCCAACUCUCAUUCAUGGGAAACCCACCCUAGCUGAGCUUCCCACCUCAGAGCAAACUGGAGAGAACCCAUGCCAAGUGCUUCAGCAGUCGCGGGGAUGAGAGUCCUACGCAAAUAUGAAAUGUGGCAUGCAGUCUCACAGAAGAACAUGUUCUCACCAAGGAUUGUUACAGAGAGCUGCCUUGUUCAAAGGUCCAAAACGGCUUUGGCAAAGGAUAUCACACAGAGUUUUGGAACAAUCCUAACACACCUUUGGACUUUUGGAUGAAUAAAGUUCUCUACCUACAAGUCAGCAUAGCACAAUGAAAGCAGUAAGGAAGCCUUGAGUUUCCAUCGUUGGAUUCGGACUUCAUGGUGAAAUGCAAGUAGGUCACUUGCCUAAGUACAAAUAUGUGAUCUCAAUGUUGGCCAAAAAAUGGGCAAAACUUCCUUAGGAAGCAAGGGUGAGAGGAAUGGGGUCUGAGAGCUAAUCCAGAAGCCCAGAAUUCAGCCCAGGAUUGCAGGGGCCCGCAGGCCUUUGAAAACGACUGGACUUCUCAAGGCUCCCAGGUCCUGGCCAGGUUGAAAUCCCUGAGGACCAUGGCCGCAGAAGAGUACAAUGAUGGGAUGGCGUAGGGUAGGUCCCUGGCAGAAACCAGUUGAUAUUUGUUUCUUUAUAAUGUAGAAUAUCAAGAUUGGGAGCAGAGAUUCUCAAGCUUUGCUCACACCAGAAUUCCCUGGGCAGCUCUGAAAGAUCCCCAAGCCCAGGUGUCCCAUCAGACCCACGGAGCCGGAAUAUGGAGGGGCCCAGGCAUUAGACCUACCUUUCUCACCCACCAUGAGAUUUCACAGGGAUAAAAACAACCUGUGCAUGUAUAAGCAGGUUAACUCUCAUCAGGUUAAAUCAAACCUAGAGGAAGCAAAUGACAGACAUUUCCUGACCUCCAACCCCCAGGCACUUUUCUUCAGAUGAUAAUGAGUCAUUGCCGAGCGAGUGGUACUUCAUUCCCCACUCACCUUCCCACAGGGACACCGAUGCAGUCAACCCUGUCCUCCUGUGCCAUGUGGGUGUGAGGUGGGGAGGCAGAGAUCACUUCUCCCCUGGCCUGCUUCUCAUCUGUCCUUAUGUCCUCAGACACAUAUGAAAGACCCUCCUGAGAACAAUGCCAGGCUGCACACAGCAAAUUCAGCAGCUGAAACAAGGCUCGACCAUCAAGCUUAGGAAGCACUUAAUCAAACGUCUACACCUCUGCUCCAUGCUUUUCAGGGAGCCCACACGUACACUGCACAAUAAUGGGAGGAUGAGGGGUAGGUAGCCGUUUGAUCACUUCUGUGCCAGAAAGGAGGCACCAUGCUUUCACACAGAAGAUCCAGAGGAGGGGGGACCCUUGUCCUCCACCACUGCCAAUCAAAGAAAUGCGGAGGAGUGGAGAUUGGUGAGCGCUGGGAGUGGGAUUUGAAGCUGGACCUGCUGACGCCACCCCAGCAUUCCCUCCACCGAUUCUCAGAGCCACCCUGCGGCUAGUGCCCUAGGCCCUGACCUCUGAGAAGGUACUUCCAAAGGCCUGCUGAUCUCAUCUGAGUGAAAACAUUUUUCAGGAGUUCACAAACUCCUUAUCUGGCUGGGCUGCCUUUCCAUAGGGCCAAGCAUGAGAAAGGUCAACGCUUGUGGUGGGUUUUGCCGUGGGAUUAAUCCAAAUAACAAAAUAAUUGCCCUGCAGUCACAAGACCUGGCCUCUAGUCAGGAGGCUGAGAUUCGAAUCCUGAUUCAGGACACGCCAGCCUUUUAAAUCUCAGACGACUAGAGACAGGGCCUGCAUGUCCCAAAGACCUUGGGGUUGCUCAGAGGAGUUAGCACCCUAGAGGAAGAUCCUUGUGAGAUCCUCUGGCAGGCCUGAUACCUGGAGCCUGCCUCCCUCACACCACACACCUGCACUUUCCUUCCCAGCAUCUCUCCUGUCCCUCACACCCACUUUCCAGCCAAGCCCCCAGCACCCUACUGUGGCCUGGCCAGGGCUCCACCGAAACCGCCAGCUCAGGCAGAUCCUUCCAUGUGGAAACUUCCCUUUCCAGCCCUCCUUAACUUCUGAGUAGCAGUCCCAAGUCCCAGCCCUAGAAAGUGAUGUGAUGGGCUGCUUUGCACUGAGGUGUUAAUGACUGACACCAGAGAUUACAGUUGCAGAGGACCACAGUUGUCAAACGGGCCAUCUCCAAUUACAGCUGAGGAAACCAAAUGCCCACACACAAAGAGUUCUGUCCCUAGUCACACAUCCAGCUGGAGCCAGAAGAACCUCUUCAAGGAGCUCUCAAAUCUCAGGCCCCCAUUCCUUCCAUAGAUAAGCCUGCCAGCUGGUGCAGCCUCUUUAACCAGCCUCCCACCCAAAUGCAAAAUGGUGAGCUGAGGAUUCUGCAGCGCUUUUUCCACUAAGGCAGGGACAGACAACUUUCCCCUCUGCAGCCUCCGUAUCAGGAGAUGAAACCAGACUUGGACCUCAGCAUCUGGGUUCCUGAUACCAGCUGGGGAAACACCGUGCAGAAUGUACAUAAAAACUCCAGAGGCCCAGAGGAGCUGACCCUGGUUUCACGCUGAACCCCUUACCAGGCAUGACGCGUGUAUGGACCUUUGGGGGCCCAUCUGCAUGAGCAGCAUUUGCUCUGCAAACAACAGAGAAGCCUUGCCCGUUUGCAAGCAUGUGGUGCACACGUGUUUGCUGGCAGGGGUGUCUGCACAUGGCCUGCUGAACAAACACAUCUUAAGACUUAAAAAAAAAAACUGGAAACUGUCAUUAAUAAUCUGAUUUUUAUCUUUAUAGGGCUUUGGCCCCAAAGGUAUCAGGCUUCCCUAUUAUCACAUUUCAGUCAAGCUCACAGCCCGCACUUGACAUGUUGUUUAAUCUUGGCACAUCAAAGGGAGGGCUCUGCUACAUUUGUUGCUAUUGUUACCAGUGCCUGAAUCCAUCUGCACUCCACCCAGAAACCUACUGCUCCAGACACAGGAAUUCCACCCGCUUCCCACCUCAAGGCUCUCAGAUACUUCAAAGCCAUUUCCUUAAAUAAAUAAAUAAAUAAAUAAAUGAAUAAGAGAA
ensembl:lncRNA novel transcript